rnacentral:rRNA from 1 species
GAUAAACGCUGGCGGCGUGCCUAAUACAUGCAAGUCGAUCGCUGGAAACCUAGCUUGCUAGGUGGAAGGAGAGGCGAACGGGUGAGUAACACAUAAGCAACCUGCCUACAAAGACUGGGAUAAUCUCUGGAAACGGGGACUAAGACCGGAUAGGUAAUAGGAUCACAUGAUCUUAUUAUUAAAGGUUAGAAACACUAGUAGAUGGGCUUAUGGUGCAUUAGUUAGUUGGUAAGGUAACGGCCUACCAAGACGAUGAUGCAUAGCCGGGCUGAGAGGCUGAACGGCCACAUUGGGACUGAGACACGGCCCAGACUCCUACGGGAGGCAGCAGUAGGGAAUUUUCGGCAAUGGGGGCAACCCUGACCGAGCAACGCCGCGUGAGUGAUGAAAGUCUUCGGAUUGUAAAGCUCUGUUAUAAGGGAAGAAUGUCCUUGAUAGAAUCGAGGAGUGACGGUACCUUAUCAGAAAGCUAACGGCUAACUACGUGCCAGCAGCCGCGGUAA